AGGAUGAACGCUGGCGGUCUGCUUAACACAUGCAAGUCGAACGGAGUAGCAAUACUUAGUGGCGGACGGGUGAGUAACGCGUGAGAAUCUACCUUCAGGACGGAGACAACAGUUGGAAACGACUGCUAACCCCCGAUGUACCGAAAGGGCAAAUAUUUAUAGCCUGAAGAAGAGCUCGCGUCCGAUUAGCUAGUUGGAGAGGUAAAAGCUCACCAAGGCGACGAUCGGUAGCUGGUCUGAGAGGACGAUCAGCCACACUGGGACUGAGACACGGCCCAGACUCCUACGGGAGGCAGCAGUGGGGAAUAUUGCGCAAUGGGCGAAAGCCUGACGCAGCGACGCCGCGUGAGGGAUGAAGGCCUUCGGGUCGUAAACCUCUUUCAGCAGGGAGAAGCGAAAGUGACGGUACCUGCAGAAGAAGCACCGGCUAACUACGUGCCAGCAGCCGC
rnacentral:rRNA from 1 species